CGCUUCAGCAACAUCCCUAAAUUCACCCAGGUAAACAAAUUUUACCCCCACCCAAAACCCUCUCCCUUCGUUCACCCUUUUACCGCAACUGAUUUUCAAACCCAUCCAAGGCCGCGCUAGGGUACCAGGAGCAUUGGGGCAAUUUCUCCUCUGCCUCCAUCGGAUGCCGCCCCGCUGUCAACCACGUGUGAAAAAUAGUCGACUACCGGGGACCGUUCCAGAACGUCGCGACGCUCUCAUCCCCUCGUAGCUUCCCCAAUCUCGGCCGCGGCGAUGUCGUUCCACCCAGGCGCAAGAAACAAGUAGGUUCUCCUACUCACGGAGGGCGCGCCACUGCUGGUGCAUGUCGGUGUUGGCAGCGCCGUUGAAGCCACCCGACUCUGCUCCGCCGAACGCUGUAUGAGGUUCACUGCUCCAGUCUCGAAACCUCCUUGCACAUAACCUAUUGUUUCCAUUAAAGCAUUUAGGCCUAUUUCUUGUGAACACACACUAGGAUUGUGUUGCAGAAAGGCCAAUCAAGAUGGGAAAAAAGGUACAACGAUAUUUACCGUUAUCGACGUGUCAUUCCACAUGAUCAUAUUUGUGACUUACAGCUACUAUUGCCGUUGACAGAAAUUGUUAGAGUCGCGAUGCUCGCCCAGCUACACUCAUGACAUGAUGAGCACACUAACUAAAAACAACUCCAUUGAAAAGCUUGGGGAGAUUGAUGAAUCGGAUUCGAAUUCUUGAGGCUUAUUCCAAAUUGAUCGGUGAAGCAGGCCAUCAUGGUUGUUAAUUGUUCCUGUUGCUGAAAUUGUGAAGUUGCUGGUGGCUUUAUCCAAAAUUUUAAGUGGAUGUUCCUUCUGAUAUGCAUUAGGAUGUUUCUUUUGAUUGGUACUUGGAUGGCUUUCGAUAUGUUUUCUGAGUUAUCACGUGCAAUGCAUUUGCGGGUGCGUGUACUUCACUGAGGAGUGAAUUACUUUUGUUUUCUUAGAUAUUACUCAGCAGGUUUCAUGUGUUAAGAAUUUGCAAUUUUCAAGCAAUUAGUUCUCAAAUUGUGGAUAUCUCUAGUUUAUUAAGUAAUGCAUUGCCUUAUUAUACUAUCUAGUCUACUCUGAUCGGUGUAUA